AGGAGAGACAGGUGGUU
rnacentral:misc_RNA from 1 species